GCUCUCCAACCCUGUUCCUGGAGAGCUACAGUCCUGUAGAGCCCUGCUGUAGGCUAUGCAUUGUUGAGUGUGUUUUUUGGCUGCAGUUUUUCUUUUGCAGUUCACUUUGUUUGGACUGAUUUAAAAUGUUCCAGUGAAUUUUGGUUUCACACAAAGGUGUCAUCUGAGAGGCACGGUUAAUGAGCACAGGGUUUUAAGGUCAUUGUUUUUUCUCAGUUUUCCUAUAGAUUUGAUUUUGUGCUAAACCUGAGCUCCUCAAAUGGAUGCCAUUUUUAUAUUUUUGCCCUCUUAAGAAUAAUACAGAAAUGAAAAUGGAGUGCUUUUCUAUUUCAAAACUUUAAGGGGACACUGCAUUUCAAGCAACCCAGAGCGAUUUCAGUAAGUAGCCUUUCACGAGCUAGCUGGAACGGCUCAUAGGAGCAGAUCUCCUGUUUCUGUAGUGUGAGGCUGCUUGAUGUACAAGUAUACCCCCCCUGGACAGGACACUAGUCUAUCUCCUUAAUGCUGAGUGCCAAGGAGAGACGCUUCGUGUCCCAUUCUUAGUCUUUUGUAUGACGUGGCCGGGGAUCAAACUCCCAACCUUUCAAUCUCAGGGCGGACACUGGGCGGACACAAGGCCACUGAGCAAUUACAGUGCUGCUCUUAUAUGGUCAAGUAUUUAUAUACUGUAUCAUUUGUUUUGUACAUGAAAGUCAAUGUGUGCUUUUGUCAUGUGGAAAUUCUUGAUAAAUGGGUGUCGUGCUUGGGUGGUUUUAUCGGCCACUAUCUAAAUAAAAUAUGUCAUGUCA